rnacentral:rRNA from 1 species
UGGGGAAUUUUGGACAAUGGGCGAAAGCCUGAUCCAGCAAUGCCGCGUGUGUGAAGAAGGCCUUCGGGUUGUAAAGCACUUUUGUCCGGAAAGAAAUCCUUGGCUCUAAUACAGUCGGGGGAUGACGGUACCGGAAGAAUAAGCACCGGCUAACUACGUGCCAGCAGCCGCGGUAAUACGUAGGGUGCAAGCGUUAAUCGGAAUUACUGGGCGUAAAGCGUGCGCAGGCGGUUUGCUAAGACCGAUGUGAAAUCCCCGGGCUCAACCUGGGAACUGCAUUGGUGACUGGCAGGCUAGAGUAUGGCAGAGGGGGGUAGAAUUCCACGUGUAGCAGUGAAAUGCGUAGAGAUGUGGAGGAAUACCGAUGGCGAAGGCAGCCCCCUGGGCCAAAUACUGACGCCCUCAUGCACGAAAGCGUGGGGAGCAAACAGGAUUAGAUACCCUGGUAGUCCACGCCCUAAACGAUGUCAACUAGUUGUUGGGGAUUCAUUUCCUUAGUAACGUAGCUAACGCGUGAAGUUGACCGCCUGGGGAGUACGGUCGCAAGAUUAAAACUUAAAUGAAUUGACGGGGUCAUAGCUGUUUCCU